UUAGGGACGGACUGCAUGCAAAGGCAGAUGCUCGUUAACUCCCAUGCUUUGCAGUCAUGCACAUGAAGAGCCUAAGGAAACUUCAAAAGACACUCUUAAGACUCAAGAACCUCUUCUUGCGACAAGCAGCUUAACGAGUUCUCAUGGCGUCCUGGUGCUCCACAAGACCGCUCCAGAAUUAAACGCCUGUUUUAAAGAA